rnacentral:tRNA from 1 species
AGCUGCUGGCCUGGGGCAAGUUUUGUCUUGAAAAUGAAACAGAAGUGUUCGAAUCACUUAGCAGCUU